UACAGAGGUCUCAAGCGUUGUUCGGAUUCAUUGGGCGUAAAGGGUGCGUAGGCGGCGCGGUAAGUCGGGUGUGAAAUUUCGGAGCUUAACUCCGAAACUGCAUUCGAUACUGCGGUGCUUGAGGACUGGAGAGGAGACUGGAAUUCAUGGUGUAGCAGUGAAAUGCGUAGAGAUCAUGAGGAAGACCAGUGGCGAAGGCGGGUCUCUGGACAGUGCCUGACACUGAGACACGAAGGCCAGGGGAGCAAACGGG
rnacentral:rRNA from 1 species